CCUACGGGCGGCAGCAGUGGGGGAUAUUGCACAAUGGGGGGAACCCUGAUGCAGCGACGCCGCGUGGGUGAAGAAGCGCCUCGGCGCGUAAAGCCCUGUCAGCAGGGAAGAAAAUGACGGUACUUGAGGAGGAAGCCCCGGCUAACUACGUGCCAGCAGCCGCGGUAAUACGUAGGGGGCUAGCGUUAUCCGGAUUUACUGGGCGUAAAGGGUGCGUAGGUGGUUUGUAAAGUCAGAGGUGAAAGGCUACGGCUCAACCGGAGUAAGCCUUUGAAACUGGAGAACUUGAGUGCAGGAGAGGAGGGUGGAAUUCCUAGUGUAGCGGUGAAAUGCGUAGAUAUUAGGAGGAACACCAGUUGCGAAGGCGGCUCUCUGGACGGUGACUGACACUGAGGCACGAAAGCGUGGGGAGCAAACAGGAUUAGAUACCCGGGUAGUC
rnacentral:rRNA from 1 species